rnacentral:rRNA from 1 species
GAUUAUGGCUCAGAUUGAACGCUGGCGGCGUGCUUAACACAUGCAAGUCGCGCGUGAAAGGACUUCGGUCCAAGUAAAGCGGCGCACGGGUGAGUAACGCGUGGAUGAUCUACCCAUGAGUUAGGAAUAACGGCUGGAAACGGUCGCUAAUACCAAAUACGCUCCGAUUUCAACUUCGGGGGAAAGGUGGCCUCUGCUUGCAAGCUACUGCUCAUGGAUGAGUCCGCGUCCCAUUAGCUAGUUGGUGGGGUAACGGCCCACCAAGGCGACGAUGGGUAGCCGGUCUGAGAGGAUGACCGGCCACACUGGGACUGGAACACGGCCCAGACUCCUACGGGAGGCAGCAGUGGGGAAUAUUGCGCAAUGGGCGAAAGCCUGACGCAGCGACGCCGCGUGAGGGAUGAAGGUCCUCGGAUCGUAAACCUCUGUCAGGAGGGAAGAACCGCCACGGUGCUAAUCAGCCGUGGUCUGACGGUACCUCCAAAGGAAGCACCGGCUAACUCCGUGCCAGCCGCAGC